UGUUGUUAGAGUUGGCAUUCUGUA
rnacentral:piRNA from 1 species